GACGAACGCUGGCGGCGUGCUUAACACAUGCAAGUCGAACGGUGAACCUCUUCGGAGGGGAUCAGUGGCGAACGGGUGAGUAACACGUGGGCAACCUGCCCCCGGCUCUGGGAUAACUCCAAGAAAUUGGGGCUAAUACCGGAUGUUCACCGCUUCCCGCCUGGGUGGUGGUGGAAAGGGUUUCCGGCUGGGGAUGGGCCCGCGGCCUAUCAGCUUGUUGGUGGGGUAGUGGCCUACCAAGGCGACGACGGGUAGCCGGCCUGAGAGGGUGACCGGCCACACUGGGACUGAGAGACGGCCCAGACUCCUACGGGAGGCAGCAGGGGGGAAUAUUGCGCAAUGGGCGGAAGCCGGACGCAGCGACGCCGCGUGGGGGAUGACGGCCUUCGGGUUGUAAACCGCUUUCAGCAGGGACGAAGCGCAAGUGACGGUACCUGAAGAAGAAGCACCGGCCAACUACGUG
rnacentral:rRNA from 1 species